ACCCGCUGAACUUAAGCAUAUCAAUAAGCGGAGGAAAAGAAACUAACAAGGAUUCCCUUAGUAACGGCGAGUGAAGCGGGAAUAGCUCAAAUUUGAAAUCUCACAGGGUUUACCUGUGUGAAUUGUAGUUUAGAGAAGCGUUUUCGGGGGUGACUUGGGUAUAAGUCCUCUGGAAUGGGGCAUCAUAGAGGGUGAGAAUCCCGUUUAUGAUCCAAUGUUCACUUCUAUGUGAUACGCUUUCCAAGAGUCAGGUAGUUUGGGAUUGCUGCCUAAAAUGGGUGGUAAAUACCAUCUAAAGCUAAAUACUGGCGAGAGACCGAUAGCGAACAAGUACCGUGAGGGAAAGAUGAAAAGAACUUUGAAAAGAGAGUUAAACAGUACGUGAAAUUGCCAAAAGGGAAACGCUUGGAACCAGUAUUGUGUGCAAGUAAUCAGCCACACAGCCUGAAAGGGUCAUUGUGGUGCACUUGCUUGCGUACAGGUCAACAUCAGUUUGGUAUCGAGUACAAAGCUGGAGGAAGGUGACUCGGGCUUCGGUCUGAGUGUUAUAGCCUACAGUCAUGCUCGGGACUGGACUGAGGUCUGCAGUAUUAUUUGGGUACCUGAUCGCCUCUUGAUCCAUGUCUAUAGACAGCUCGCUGACUAUGGAUAUGGCUAGAGAGCUUGGUUAGUUUGCCACACCAAUACUUAGGAUGUUGAUGAAAUGGUUCUAAACGACCCGUCUUGAAACACGG
rnacentral:rRNA from 1 species